rnacentral:tRNA from 1 species
GGCCGGUUGGCCCAAUGGCAAGGCGUCUGACUACGAUACACAGUGGAAUCAGGAAAUUGUGGGUUCGACCCCCAUGCUGGUCA